GAUGAACGCUGGCGGCGUGCCUAAUACAUGCAAGUCGAGCGAACAGAUGAGGAGCUUGCUCCUCUGACGUUAGCGGCGGACGGGUGAGUAACACGUGGAUAACCUACCUAUAAGACUGGGAUAACUUCGGGAAACCGGAGCUAAUACCGGAUAACAUGUUGAACCGCAUGGUUCAACAGUGAAAGACGGUUUUGCUGUCACUUAUAGAUGGAUCCGCGUCGCAUUAGCUAGUUGGUAAGGUAACGGCUUACCAAGGCAACGAUGCGUAGCCGACCUGAGAGGGUGAUCGGCCACACUGGAACUGAGACACGGUCCAGACUCCUACGGGAGGCAGCAGUAGGGAAUCUUCCGCAAUGGGCGAAAGCCUGACGGAGCAACGCCGCGUGAGUGAAGAAGGUCUUCGGAUCGUAAAACUCUGUUAUUAGGGAAGAACAAAUGUGUAAGUAACUAUGCACGUCUUGACGGUACCUAAUCAGAAAGCCACGGCUAACUACGUG
rnacentral:rRNA from 1 species